rnacentral:rRNA from 1 species
GAUGAACGCUGGCGGCGUGCGUAACACAUGCAAGUUGAACGACGGUGUCAUGAAGUGGUAACACGGAAUGGCAUACGGAGUAGCGGACGGGUGAGUACAACAUGAGAAGCUGUCCUUCAGUGGGGGACAACGUCUGGAAGCGGACCCUAAUACCCCAUAGUCCGAGAGGUUAAAGGCAGCGAUGCGCGGCAGGAGGAGCUCGUGUCCUAUCAGCUGGUUGGUGAGGUAACGGCUCACCAAGGCUUCGACGGGUAGCCGGCCUGAGAGGGUGACCGGCCACACUGGAACUGAGAAACGGUCCAGACUCCUACGGGAGGCAGCAGUGGGGAAUAUUGGGCAAUGGGAGGAAUCCUGACCCAGCGACCCGCGUGAACGAAGGCGGCCUUCGGGUUGUAAAGUUCUUUUAUGUGGGAAGAAUGAAGUGACGGUACCAC